AUUGAACGCUGGCGGCAGGCCUAACACAUGCAAGUCGAGCGGAUGAAGGGAGCUUGCUCCUGGAUUCAGCGGCGGACGGGUGAGUAAUGCCUAGGAAUCUGCCUGGUAGUGGGGGAUAACGUCCGGACACGGGCGCUAAUACCGCAUACGUCCUGAGGGAGAAAGUGGGGGAUCUUCGGACAUCACGCUAUCAGAUGAGCCUAGGUCCGAUUAGCUAGUUGGUGGGGUAAAGGCCUACCAAGGCGACGAUCCGUAACUGGUCUGAGAGGAUGAUCAGUCACACUUGAACUGAGACACGCUCCAAACUCCUACGGGAAGCAGCAGUGGAGAAUAUUGGACAAAGGGCGAAAGCCUGAUCCAGCCAUGCCGCGUGUGUGAAGAAGGUCUUCGGAUUGUAAAGCACUUUAAGUUGGGAGAAAGGGAAGUAAGUUAAUACCUUGCUGUUUUGACGUUACCAACAGAAUAAGCACCGGCUAACUUCGU
rnacentral:rRNA from 1 species